CAGCAGGGUAGCAAUAUCGCUGGCGACCGGCGCACGGGUGCGUAACACGUAUAUAAUCUGCCUUUUACAGGGGGAUAGCCUUUCGAAAGAGAGAUUAAUACCCCAUAACAGUUGACUGGGCAUCCAGUUGAUUUGAAAGUUCCGACGGUAAAAGAUGAGUAUGCGUCUGAUUAGCUAGUAGGUGAGGUAACGGCUCACCUAGGCAACGAUCAGUAGGGGAUCUGAGAGGAUUAACCCCCACACGGAUACUGAGACACGGAUCCGACUCC
rnacentral:rRNA from 1 species